rnacentral:rRNA from 1 species
UACGGAGGGUGCAAGCGUUAUCCGGAUUUAUUGGGUUUAAAGGGUCCGUAGGCGGAUCUGUAAGUCAGUGGUGAAAUCUCGCAGCUUAACUGCGAAACUGCCAUUGAUACUGCAGGUCUUGAGUGAAUUUGAAGUGGCUGGAAUAAGUAGUGUAGCGGUGAAAUGCAUAGAUAUUACUUAGAACACCAAUUGCGAAGGCAGGUCACUAAGAUUCAACUGACGCUGAUGGACGAAAGCGUGGGGAGCGAAC